rnacentral:rRNA from 1 species
AGAUUGAACGCUGGCGGCAUGCCUUACAAAUGCAAGUCGAACGGCAGCACGGGAGCAAUCCUGGUGGCGAGUGGCGAACGGGUGAGUAAUACAUCGGAACGUGCCUAGUAGUGGGGGGACUAGCCCGGCGAAAGCCGGAUUAAUACCGCAUACGACCUACGGGUGAAAGCGGGGGAUCGCAAGACCUCGCGCUAUUGGAGCGGCUGAUGUCAGAUUAGGUAGUUGGUAGGUAAAAGCCUACCAAGCCGACGAUCUGUAGCUGGUCUGAGAGGACGACCAGCCACACUGGGACUGAGACACGGCCCAGACUCCUACGGGAGGCAGCAGUGGGGAAUUUUGGACAAUGGGCGCAAGCCUGAUCCAGCCAUGCCGCGUGCGGGAAGAAGGCCUUCGGUGUAACCGCUUUGUCGAGGAAGAACGACACUGGCCGAAUAGUCCCGGUGUAAUGAACGGUACCGUGAAGAAUAAGACGAACCGGUCGUAACCUACGU